rnacentral:rRNA from 1 species
CAGGCCUAACACAUGCAAGUCGAGCGGUAGCACAAGGGAGCUUGCUCCCUGGGUGACGAGCGGCGGACGGGUGAGUAAUGUCUGGGAAACUGCCUGAUGGAGGGGGAUAACUACUGGAAACGGUAGCUAAUACCGCAUAACGUCGCAAGACCAAAGUGGGGGACCUUCGGGCCUCACACCAUCGGAUGUGCCCAGAUGGGAUUAGCUAGUAGGUGGGGUAAUGGCUCACCUAGGCGACGAUCCCUAGCUGGUCUGAGAGGAUGACCAGCCACACUGGGACUGAGACACGGCCCAGACUCCUACGGGAGGCAGCAGUGGGGAAUAUUGCACAAUGGGCGCAAGCCUGAUGCAGCCAUGCCGCGUGUGUGAAGAAGGCCUUAGGGUUGUAAAGCACUUUCAGCGAGGAGGAAGGGUGGUGUGUUAAUAGCACAUCACAUUGACGUUACUCGCAGAAGAAGCACCGGCUAACUCCGUGCCAGCAGCCGCGGUAAU